ACGCUGGCGGCAUGCUUUACACAUGCAAGUCGGACGGCAGCACAGAGAAGCUUGCUUCUUGGGUGGCGAGUGGCGAACGGGUGAGUAACAUAUCGGAACGUACCGAGCAGUGGGGGAUAACUAAUCGAAAGAUUAGCUAAUACCGCAUAUAUUCUGAGGAAGAAAGCAGGGGACCAUUUGGCCUUGCGCUGUUUGAGCGGCCGAUAUCUGAUUAGCUAGUUGGUGGGGUAAAGGCCUACCAAGGCGACGAUCAGUAGCGGGUCUGAGAGGAUGAUCCGCCACACUGGGACUGAGACACGGCCCAGACUCCUACGGGAGGCAGCAGUGGGGAAUUUUGGACAAUGGGCGCAAGCCUGAUCCAGCCAUGCCGCGUGUCUGAAGAAGGCCUUCGGGUUGUAAAGGACUUUUGUCAGGGAAGAAAAGGGCGGGGUUAAUACCCCUGUCUGAUGACGGUACCUGAAGAAUAAGCACCGGCUAACUACGUGCCAGCAGCCGCGGUAAUACGUAGGGUGCGAGCGUUAAUCGGAAUUACUGGGCGUAAAGCGGGCGCAGACGGUUACUUAAGCAGGAUGUGAAAUCCCCGGGCUCAACCUGGGAACUGCGUUCUGAACUGGGUGACUAGAGUGUGUCAGAGGGAGGUAGAAUUCCACGUGUAGCAGUGAAAUGCGUAGAGAUGUGGAGGAAUACCGAUGGCGAAGGCAGCCUCCUGGGAUAACACUGACGUUCAUGCCCGAAAGCGUGGGUAGCAAACAGGAUUAGAUACCCUGGUAGUCCACGCCCUAAACGAUGUCAAUUAGCUGUUGGGCAGCAUGACUGCUUAGUAGCGAAGCUAACGCGUGAAAUUGACCGCCUUGGGGAGUACGGUCGCAAGAUUAAAACUCAAAGGAAUUGACGGGGACCCGCACAAGCGGUGG
rnacentral:rRNA from 1 species